rnacentral:lncRNA from 1 species
CAGGGAUGUGGGCAUGGCUGACCCUGGCGGGAAAGUCUGAGGUCUCGGAGGCUGGGUUUCAGGGUCCGGCUGGGGGACAGAUGACACCGCCCUGAGCUCGAGCCUUUAUGGAGCACUGUUGUGGGAGGCACUGGGAAUGCAAAGACCCUUAGGCCUGGCUCCUCUUCAGAGCUACCUGUGGUCUGGAGAGAAAGGCUUACGGCACUGUCAGCACCACGAAGCCAUGCACGGGGUGCCGUCUGGACACACCCAGCCCCGCUGAGAUCCGAGCAGGCUCCCUGGAGGAGGUAACUCUGCACUUGCCCAGUGAAGACAGGUUCGAAGGGAAUGCUAGGCAAAUGUUUCCUCUGCAGACUAUUGACCGUCUACUGUGUGCCAGGUGCUGAAAAGCACAAAAAUGCUUGGGAAGCCUAAAACUGGAGACCUUGUGUAUGGUGUGGAAAGCAGCAGGCAGUCAAAUCUUUCUAGGUGCUGGCUGCGAUGGAGCUGGACAGACUCAAGAAAACCAGUCCUGCUGGAGAAUGUUAUAAAACACCCUCUGUGACAGCCGUGCCAAGCUGUGCCCUUGGGCACUCCACCACUGCCCAGCCCUGAAGGUCCCCCCGCAGGGAGGACCUCUCUGCAUGGACCUCCUUCCACUCCUGACCAAGCUAGUUUUUUGGAAGUUUGUGUAGAACCCUCAGAGAAGGAAUUAUUUUUUGGAUUUGAGUGAUAAAUUGAUGGUAAAGUCAAUAUUAAGGCACCAAACAUGUUGGAUUCAUACAGUGUUUGAUUCUCAUAUCUACACAAACCCCAGCACCCUGGUACUAUACCCCAGUAUUACAGGUAGGAAAACUUAGUUUUUGUUUUGAGACAGGGUCUCACCGUGUACUUCAGGCUGGCCUUGAACUAUGUACCUCAGGCUGGCCUCGAACUCACAGUGAUUCUCUUGCCUUGGCCUCCUCGGUGUGUGCCACCAUACACAGCUGAAAAUUGAAAUUUAAGCAACCCAAGUAGGCAGGUGUGGUGGAUGCCUGUAGCCUGCAAGUGUAGCACCCUGGGAGGCUGAGGCAGAAGUGCAAGUUUGAGCCCAACCAGGGCAACUUAGUGAGAACCAGUCUCAAGGGCUGGGGACUUACACAGAUCAGUAUGAAGGCGCUGG